rnacentral:lncRNA from 10 species
AUUCUCUAGGCGAAGGAGAACAAUAAGAGGCAGGUAAAGCUGGAGCCCGUAACAGGAGGAAACGUGAGCAUUGAAAACCCGCCCUUUGGAUGAACUGACCACAGCUGGACAACACCAGUGCCAGGCCAGGGUUCCAAGCACUGCAGAGAUGAAGCACCUUCUUCCAGGAGUUCCUGGAGUUCUCAGAAGCCAGAGUGGACUUGUUCCUCCGUUUUAUUUGAUGAGGUUCUAAAUAUAGCUGGGCAAGGCUUCGGAUUUUAGUGGGAGAUGGCCAGAGGCGAAGCAACUGAUAAAAGUAGCUGAAUAGCUCUCCCUCUCUGAGCUAGGUGCAAGCUCCUGACGUAGGAAGCGAUCCCUCCUUGCCACAGAUAACCCACGUAGCCAGGUGCUGCCAAGCAGCUUCCACCUGGAGGAGGGCAGCUGCUCUGCGCAUGACCAGUAGCUGUGGAUGGCAUCGUCGAGGCAUCUGGAGGAAGCUGCAGCCCCACAAGGCCCCUGACCCCUCUGCCUUUCCCUCUGCUGGCUCCUCUUCCUCCCUCUUUCCCUGCUGUCCCCUGUAGAGAACUUUCUACCAGUCCACACACCAACCUAGGUGCAGCCCCCCUGCGUGACUCCCUCCCUGACUAUCAUAACCAUGGCCAGCAGUAUCUCCACAUCUCUGCCCAGAUCCCCCUGGGAAGGCUUAUCCCAGGCCCCAGGUUUGGGGCAAUGCCCAGUGGCAUCGGAUGGGGUCCCCCUUGAAAGGAAGCACAGAAAGACUGAGCCAUCAACGUAGUCCCCUCCAUCACCUGCCACUGUCCCCAAAAUCUCCCACACCGGAAGUGUUUAGAUUGUCUAAGGACAAUAUUGUCUAGGGUUUGAGGACCACCCCACAGCAAAAACACUAGAAAGCUAGUUCCAAAAUGCAAAUCCCAGGCCAAGCCCCUCACCUCCUGAGGCAGCAUCCCUGGGUAUAGAUCUCAGAAAUCUGCAGUUUUAAUACAAAGGCCCCCUAAACUUAAAGAAACAGCCUGAAUUCACAUGGGCACACCUUACCUGAGCAGGCAAUACAGUGACAAGGGUGGAAACAGAGGGGACGAGACCUGACACUGGGAAGGCCUGACAGAGGGAAGGAAGGAAAGCUCUCAGGCUAAGGGCGCUGGGAACCCCACUCUUCCCUCUAGGGAGUUGCCGUUCCCUGAGGGGCCUGAGGAGCCUCCUCCUGAAGCCCCAGCUAUUCAAAUUACACCUUUUCUUAUUAGGACAUCAGGAGGUGUUGCCCCUUAGCUUUCCAUUCUAACCUCCUCAAUGUAGGGGCCUUGCUGGUGUCGAGGACAGAGCGGAGGCCUCAAGGGUAUGUGCAGUCUAGGUGGCCUUGGUGGAGGGGCAGGAUUCUACAUUUGGGAGGGGACUUCUUGCUGAACUCCUUCCAGAUGGGUCAAAUGGGGUAGACUGAGGGAGUGGUGUGGGAGGUGGUAAAGAACCAAGUAGGGACUGGAUGGAUCCUGGGAGUUUACAGGGCUGCCUCGGAGAGGGAGGGUGCUGAGAGAGAGGAGACCAGGGUGGGCACCAACGCGAUCCCUGCAGGCUAUGAGUGUAGGAUCAGAGAGGGUUAAGGGCCAGAAGCCCCUGUGUGUUUAGGACUGUGGCACCAUGGGUGCAUCCCCUGAGAAGCGAAGCUCAGGCAGGAGCAGCAGUGGGCAAAGAGCCUGGUGGUGCAGGUGCAGGCCCUGUAGAGGAGGCAGUGACAACACCCAGCCCAGGCCGACUCUCUCUGCCUGUCCCCUGAGUCCCCUGGCACCUCUCCACAUCUGCUCAGCCCUCCCAGUUAACCUAGCACUGGUAGAUGGUUGAUAUGAUUUGGAUCUGUGUCCCCAAAUCUCAUGUUGAAUUCUAAUCCCCAGUGUUGGAGGUGGGGCCUGGUGGGAGGUGAUUGGAUCAUGGGGGUGAAUCCUUCAUGAAUGGCUUAGCUUUAUCCCCUUAAUGCUGUUCUUGUGGUAGUGAGGGAAUUCUUGCAAUAUCUGGUUGUUUAAAAGUGUGUAGCACUUCCCCCCCAACACUCUUUUGUUCCUGUUCCAACUGUGUGAAGUGCUCACUCCCCCUUUGCCUUCUGCUAUGACUGUUAAGUUUCCUGAGGCCUUCCCAGAAGCUGAGCAGGUGUCAGCAUCAUGCUUUCUGUAUAGCCUGAGGAACCAUAAGCCAAUUAAACCUCUUUUCUUUAAAAAUU